rnacentral:ncRNA from 2 species
UAUAUGUAGUGUUUUUACGGUGCAUCAAAGGGAUGACCUGCGAUGCUUAAAAGGGAAUUCGGUGCGAAGCAUAUUUCAAUACCGGAGCUGCCCCCGCAACUGUAAGCGGCGCGUUACUUGAUCAUGAUGUCACUGGGAAACUGGGAAGACGGAUCAGGCUGACAAUAAGCCACAAGCCAGGAGACCUGCCGGAAAACAAUUCGCAAC